AAAAAAAAAAAAAAGGAACAAUAAAACCUGGAGUGUUGCCAAGAGGGCCUGCGUUCCCUUCACCACCUAUCAUCACACCUGUCAGGGUCGAUGAUGAAGGCAUGGCUGGUGUAUCAGCUGCUGGAAUCUAACCACAUAAUAUUACUCCAUGUGAAUCCUCCACCAUCGGGGGAGAAACCUAUGAGGCCUUUCAAGGUACCUUAAUACAGACACAUAGCUACACUAUAUAAACCUAUUUGUACCUGUUCCCAGUUUAGCCCUGCAUUUACAUUUUCAAUGACUUGAUUAUUGAAAUAAUUUUCUCCAAGCCUGCGGCAAGCCCACUGCUCGUAUGCACAUGAACGGCUCUGGUCCAAAAUUGUUAAAAGACUAAAUGAAACUGAAAAAAAAAAGGCAAAGUAGGUAUCAAACAUCCAAACAACAUUUACAUCGGGUGGGAAGCAGGCGGAGGUUGAUGGGUGAGAUGCAGGGGUGAGGAUGGGGCUGGCAUUCUGGGACCAUGGUGCGCACUGGCAAAGUGGUCUGGAAAAGAUUUAAAAAAAAAAAAAAAAAAACGGUCAUUGUUUGUGCAUUUGUGUUGCAAUGGCCCACAUGAGCACAUAAAUGUAAU
rnacentral:lncRNA from 1 species